GUCAGGAAACAGCCUGUCACACGAAGUGUGUCUCAAGCUCAUUGAUCUUUUCAGGGCCUGGCGGGUCUUCAACAUCACCGUGCUUGUUCCACCUACUUCGCCCGCACUGGGACCAUGUUCCAGAAUGUGCAGGGCAGAGGUCACUUCCAAAGGAUGCCUUCUCCCUGCGUGAGGCUCAGAGUGGCGGAAACAAAAAUGCAGCCAAAGGAACCCGAUUGUCAUUGACGGAAGAAAAAGGUAUUCACAAGUUUCUUUAUGUUUUGAAUAAUUGUUUCCUGUUUUGCUCAGCAGAACAAGUAAUUAAGAUGACAUUUGUGAGUACUAAUUUGGAUCACACUUAUGUGUAUGUGUUACAGAGCUGCAAGCCAAAACAUGCAAAACCAGCCUCUCAUUGAGGAGAAAGUGAAAAAUCCAGAAUGAGCUGGAAGGGGAGGGCCGAGAACUCCCAGGAGCCCUUGUGUGAAUCAGAAGCUCUCCUUAGCCUGGUGCCUCUGCCCACAGCCCCGUGCCGCCCACAGGAGCCACCACCCUGCACCUGGGCCGGGUGAUGGCAUCCCCGUCAGACCUCAGCCGCUCUACCGUCUGGGCUCCUGGCCUCUGCCCACCUGCCUGAGCCUGAAGCUGGUUCUCGGAUCAGCGUGCCCAUCUAGCGUAGCCUGAGCCCUUGCUCCCUCCCUGCCAAGCCCUCCAGUUUGGAAGCAGAGGCAGGAGGGCCAGGGCGGGGGGGGGGGUGGGGGAUCUUGUGGUUGGUUAACUGCAGGGUGCUGCUGUGGCCUCUGUCACACAGUCCCCGACAGACAUGGAGUGCAACAUACGUACAGAUGGCCCCUCUGGGGACUGAGCCGUCUCAGGAACGGUAAGAAUUUCUCUAUGCAGGUUAGAGGGCGGUCUGAGGACCGAGAAGUUUGUAAAAGUUUCUUCCAUGAAUGACCUUUAUCUUGCCCCAAGAUGCAGCCCUGGGGCCCAGGUUCUGAAAGGGAAACACCCCCCACCCUCCACCCAGCCCAGUCUAACGUAUGCAUGCGUUUUGCCUUGCAUUCGAAUCAAAACAGAUAAAAUUACCCAAAGUGAAAUUCACAGACAAGAAAUACUUUAAUUAAAUAUUGUGUAAAAUGAACAUUUUUAUACAGUUAAAUAUCUGAAAAAAUGUACAGAUAAAACAAUCUUAUUGUAGGGUCUUUAACAGUAAAAUCUACCAUUUAGUGAAGCGCUCAAUUUUGAGACAAUGAAGCGAUGAGGGGCAUUGACUAAUUAAUCUAAAACACAAACCGAGUGCAGGGAUGAGGAAACUUGCAAACGUUCUCAACAUGUACACGUGAGCUUGUUUUUUUAGAUCAAACCCUUACUUAUACAAAAUAAAACGGAGGCAAUUUAGUUCCAAAGUGACUUCUCAGGCUUUCCCACGUAGCUAAGCCUUAGGGGUCAUGGGGCCGGACCGCGACCCGCUGACCACCGGGACAUUCUGCUGUUUUAUUUAGUCCCUCGAAUGAACACUUUCCUAAGUUGUGCAUGGUUUUGUUCUUUUGUCAAGAAAGUUGUUUUUUAAUGUCCCUCCUUUUUGUUUUACAUCUGAUUUCUGCUGCAAUUCGCGAAACGUCUGCUGUGCUGUGUCUGUGAGGCGUUUAACACAAAGGGAAAGACUGACCCUCCUGGUCUCACUGUGGGUUUGGCACGAACAGGCACAGUAUCUGAAGGAGGUCAUUCCGGUUUUAAAAAGUACAGACAGCGCUGCAGGGGUCCGACCACAAAAAAGGUGUCGUUUCAAAAAAAGUUAAAAACCAGCAGUGAUUUUUGGUUCCCCCGAAACCUCUCUGGAUCCUAGGUGGGCCCCAGGGAGACACGGAACGCAGCAGAAUCAGACGCAGAAUGGAGCGACACAUGGAACGUCAGGUUUGUGCUUUUGUUUGUGUGUGUGUGUGUGUGUGUGUGUGUGUUUACACCAUAAAUCUCCAAAUGAAAUAUCGAUUAACGAUUGUGUUGUAAGCCUGUGAUAAAAUAGCACAAAGGUUCUUUAAAGAAGUCCACUUUUAAGGCAUCAGAGAAGUUAAUGUGGCAAACAUUUUAAUUAAAACAUCAGAAGUAAAUUUUAUUUUAAACUUUAGGCCUCUGAAUUUUUCCAGUAAACACAGUUCAGCUAUGUGGCAA
rnacentral:lncRNA from 1 species